GGAGUUGCUGCAACUACAGUCGCGGACAAUCAGCAGGCCGGGUGAUCCCGGCUGUUGCGAUUUCCAUAUGGUAAAAUCAGUAACAGAACAAUCUGUGCCAAAUUUUGUGCUGAUCGGUUGAUCGGUCGAGUGGAGAGUCAGUGAGAGGCCGGGUAGUCCCGGCUGUUGCUUUAAUACUAACUGACUUUUAAACAGGUCGUUUAAAAAUUGUUGCUACUAUGGCCAUAUAAGUGGAAAUCCGGCGAUUAAUAAUUAUGGACGCAAUAUCCAAAUUUGAACCGAUUUUGAUGAAAUCUCGCAGAUCUCGCCACAUUGUCCACUAUAUACACACUGGAGAUAAAUGAUAAGCUGGAUGUGAGAGUCGAUGGAGUAAAGAUUUUAACCAACAAGUGACCCAUAAUACUUGGUGUCAUAUUUAACAUCUCUUUCAUAAUCUCUUCACCAAGGCCGCAAAGCAACGUUACCAUUGGAAACCAUUUAUUGAAAGUUUUUAAAAAGGAGACACAACAGAUUUGUUCCAAUAAAAAAAUUUGCAGGAGAAUAAGAACAGCAUUUACACUUCUGCUAUUUAUUUUAAUUAAACGCUGGUUUUCAUAAAACAAAAAACGUCAAAUACUUGUAUGAAAUGCAUAAAAGGCAUAUCGUUGUUUUCGAUUUAUUGUUGUUGCUAUAGUUCCUUUUUUCAUAAUUUUUAAUUUGAUAAACAAGUUUUUAUUUUAAACCUAUAAUCGGAUAUUCACAAAUGCCGCCAAUAACUAUUAGUGAGAAAGAAUAACAGUAAAAAGGUAAAACAAAUUUAUUGUGAAAAAUGUUUCGUUGAAAUAGCGUUAUGCAGAAAAAUUGCUGUUGUUAACUAACGCAACAAACUAGAUGACAUUGUAAAAUGUAAAAGUGAUUUUAUUGACUUGGGUACUGAGGAUGGAAGGCAAUACAUGUGAAUCUAUAUUUCAUGAUAUUGCACGCAAAAUGCUAAAAUUGGUAUUUAUAACUGACGGAAAUAUACCAAAAGCUCCGUUCCAAGUUGUCCCAAAAGGUUAGAGAAAAUUCAAUAUUGCGAUUUCAGAGAAAAACAGUUUUUUUGAUUCAUUUACUUUGUGAGAAUGACAUAAAAACAAAUUGUUAUCGAUAUCAUUAAUCAUGAGAUGUUUUGCAUACAAUUAAUGAACAGUGAUGUCCAUUAUCAAGAAUUUACUAUGUGUGUCAUAGGUUUGCGUUUACCACCAUGUUUACCUUCAAAAGACUUCAUUGCUGGAGCUUCUUCAUCCAUUCUGACAACAUGCCCCAGCCAACGCAGCCGUUGUAUUUUUUAAAUAUACGGUGUCGCAGAAAACGAAGAGAGACUCAAAAUGGAAUCGACAGUUCGUUUUUUUAGAACCAUGGGACCAUUAAGAAAAAAUAUAAACAUUUUAAGCAAUAUAUUUCAUGUUUUAUUCGCAA
rnacentral:sRNA from 14 species